rnacentral:rRNA from 1 species
UACGGAGGUUGCAAGCGUUAUCCGGAAUCACUGGGUUUAAAGGGUGCGUAGGCGGCUUGAUAAGUCAGGGGUGAAAGCCCGCAGCUUAACUGCGGAACUGCCUUUGAUACUGUCGAGCUUGAAAGAGGUUGAGGUCAGCGGAACGUGACAUGUAGCGGUGAAAUGCAUAGAUAUGUCACAGAACACAGAUUGCGAAGGCAGCUGGCUGGACCUACUUUGACGCUGAUGCACGAAAGCGUGGGGAGCGAACAGG